ACAUGAAAGCAGAAGCAACCCGCUUCUCGCCUUAGUGAAGUUAUUCGCUGGGCAUGAUAUCGAGUAAGAACCUGUUCGAUAGGUUCUUUAAUGAUGGCGGGUGCAGUUUGUACCCGCCAUCUUUCUGCUUG
rfam:Lactobacillus parafarraginis F0439 genomic scaffold Scfld40, whole genome shotgun sequence.